GAUGAACGCUGGCGGCGUGCCUAAUACAUGCAAGUCGAGCGAACAGACGAGGAGCUUGCUCCUCUGACGUUAGCGGCGGACGGGUGAGUAACACGUGGAUAACCUACCUAUAAGACUGGGAUAACUUCGGGAAACCGGAGCUAAUACCGGAUAAUAUAUUGAACCGCAUGGUUCAAUAGUGAAAGACGGUUUUGCUGUCACUUAUAGAUGGAUCCGCGCCGCAUUAGCUAGUUGGUAAGGUAACGGCUUACCAAGGCAACGAUGCGUAGCCGACCUGAGAGGGGGCCCGCCCCCCCGGGACCUGGCACCCGCCCCAGCCCCCCCCGGGGGGCCCCAGUGGGGACUUUUCCGCAUAGGGGGAAGGCCUGACGGCCACCCGCCGCGGGAGUGAUGAAGGUCUUCGUAUCGAAACCCUUUUUUAUUGGGAAAAAACAAGUGUGAAAGAAACUAUGCACGUCUGCCCGGUCCCUAAUAAGAAACCCCCGCCUAACUCCGUC
rnacentral:rRNA from 1 species